GACGAACGCUGGCGGCGUGCUUAACACAUGCAAGUCGAACGGAAAGGCCCUGCUUUUGUGGGGUGCUCGAGUGGCGAACGGGUGAGUAACACGUGAGUAACCUGCCCUUGACUUUGGGAUAACUUCAGGAAACUGGGGCUAAUACCGGAUAGGAGCUCCUGCUGCAUGGUGGGGGUUGGAAAGUUUCGGUGGUUGGGGAUGGACUCGCGGCUUAUCAGCUUGUUGGUGGGGUAGUGGCUUACCAAGGCUUUGACGGGUAGCCGGCCUGAGAGGGUGACCGGCCACAUUGGGACUGCGAGACGGACCAGACUGCUACGGGAGGCAGCAGUGGGGAAUAUUGUCCAAUGGGCGGAAGCCUGAUGCAGCAACGUCGCGUGCGGGAUGCCGGCCUUCGGGUUGUAAACCGCUUUCGCCUGUGACGAAGCGUGAGUGACGGUAAUGGGUAAAGAAGCACCGGCUAACUACGUG
rnacentral:rRNA from 1 species